rnacentral:rRNA from 1 species
UACGUAGGGUGCAAGCGUUAUCCGGAAUGAUUGGGCGUAAAGCGUCCGCAGGUGGCAAUUCAAGUCUGCUGUUAAAGCGCAGGGCUUAACUCUGUAAAGGCAGUGGAAACUGAAUAGCUAGAGUGUGGUAGGGGCAGAGGGAAUUCCCAGUGUAGCGGUGAAAUGCGUAGAGAUUGGGAAGAACAUCGGUGGCGAAGGCGCUCUGCUGGACCAUAACUGACACUCACAGGACGAAAGCUAGGGGAGCGAAUGGG